UUUUAGUCGGAUAAUACUAAUGACGGUUAAUUAAAUCACACUCUCCAAUUCUUAUGACACCUUUGUUAUGUGUGCGAUUUAAGUAUAUAACCAUUUAAAUAAUAUAAUAAUUGAUCGUUUUAAACCGUCAUCGACACAACAAUGCUCAAUCAAUAAUUAUUGAUUAAUAGUUGGGACAAUUUUAAGUUCGUUUCGUCUUUAUUUUCAAUUAGCAUGGAUUCUUAGUUCUAUUACAGUAUUUUUCAUUAAAGUUGGAUGGUAAUUAAAGGAACAUAAAUAUCGAUUUGGAGAUUUAUUGUUAAUUCAAAGAUAGACAGGUGAAUUCAGGCUAGAUACAUACUAAACAACUGCAAGAAAAUACGAUACUUUUAAAACGGAACUAACAUUAUCCAAAUGUGACAAUUCAUUUCAAGGACAUUUUGUUACCAAUAAAAGAAUAAAAAUUGAAAGUAAAAUGCCAAAGUGCAGGUGGUCUGUAGAGUUCCUCGCAGGUACAGGGGGAUGUAUAUGUAAAGAAGAAAUUACAAGUGAGUGGUUCAAUUCAAAGGAAGAAGCAAAGAAGGACGCGGAUCGGAACGCAGAAAAGGAAAUGAACGAUUUUCCAUUUUCAAGAGGAAGAGUAUUACGUUUAAUUUUAGAGGACGAGGACGGAAAAAUACAUGAAUUAAGAGGCAUGUUAAGAGAGCAUUAAAAGUAAACUUUGCAUAGUAAUUAAGCUCAAAUUCAUACGAAUGAAAAACUGAAUCUUUCCUGUAGGAAUGUCAUUUCAUGGAUAUGCUGGUUCCUAUGUGUUAUGUGCAUUAUGGCUAAAGUUCUUCAAAGGCUUGAACGAAGGAUUUGAACAGUGUGUGCCAUACAUGAUUUGCUCAUUAUUUUAUUUCUCUAUUGAUGUGUAUUAACAGUCUUAUCAUUCGUCACUACUCGGCCGAUUCCGUACCUGUAGAUUGAGAGAAGCGGAGUCACCCGAAGUUAGCCGAUCUUAUGUGUUUCUAACAAUCUUAUAACAACAAUAGUUGACGAUACAAACUAGUUUUGUAUUUCAAUCAUCUGCUGAUAAGGUUUCGUUUCUACUUUAAUUGUUAAAUUGUUUUUAAAAUAGUUACGAUGAUCUCACGCUUUUACGUCUCCUCAAACAAUAUAUCAUAAGUCACAAAGAAGAAUUCAGUCUCUUUCAUGUGCUGGUUUCUAAACUAACAAUGACCAUUUGCUGUUAGUUUUAAACGUGUUGUAGAAAGCGAUAAUUGUUUUUUUUUUUAAUUUUAUUUCAAACAUUUCCAUGCAAUAAAUUACAGUUUUAACCUUUACUUCUGUCCAGAAUUCUUUUAAAUCCCCAAGAAUCUUAACGAAUUUUUAUUUCCUUAAGCCAAUAACCAUUAUAGAUUACAUAAAUAUUUUUGUAAGCUUUUAAUACUUUACACAUAUGUAUUGUUAAAAAUGAAGUACACAGACAUUGUAAUAUGAAUUUUAAACAUUUUGAUCAAAUCGAUUAUAAAAACAUGUUUACAUGUAGCGUUCGGGUUCAUUUCUAUUUGUUAUGUUCUUUUCCAAGUAAUACACCGCAACCAGAAAUACCAUUGAAAGCUUAUAUUCUGAUUAAACAUCUACAUUUCUAUUGUGGGUUGUUGCUCCUCAUCAUCUAAAUGAGAUUGAACAAGUGCUUGCAUUAUGUAUAAAUACCUCUCUUUUAUAACCCCCAGAUAUCUUCAGUGGUUUUUGUAACUCGACUAUUUCAAUCCCUCUCCGAGUCCGACUUUCUCCCACGCGAGGUAGCCAUGAUCGUAAAGCAGCGGAAUAUAAAUACUGACUUAUUCGGGUUAUGGGUUUUGUAACGUUGGGGGCUUUGGUGGCCGAGUGGUCUUAAGUAGUCGAACUACUGUAUGACUAGUCGUCAACACUGAGAUAGUGAGUUCGAAUCCCGCACGUGGCAGGUGCGCUCGACUUCAACCUUAAUAGACUAGGAUCGUCAGUUUUCCUACCGAAGGUCGGUGAUUCUCUCUGGGUACUCCGGCUCCCUCCACCAAUAAAAACUGACUGACACGAAAUAGCACAAUAUUGCUGAAGGUGGCGUUAAACACCAAUCAAUCAAUCAAUCAUUUAAUGACGUUGUGCUGUUUUCUCAAUGAAAUAUCCUUCAUAACUCCUUUUAUGUGAUCAUUAUUUUCUUCAUAUUUCACUGUGUAUUGUUGUCAACCCAUUUCACUGUACACGCAACUUGUACAAUGACUUACAUCAAUGAAUUACUAAGUUAAAAACAUGUUAACUACAUGUUUUAAUACAUGUACAAGGUUUUAAUUUUGGGUUCUUGGAUUUAAAAAAAAAAGAAUCGAUACUUUGCUGUCGAAAUGGUUUUAUACCACAACGCCUCAUUUGUUCAAACGUACAUAUACGUUAAUAUAAUACUGAGUAUGCCUUAAUAACUUGCAAAUCGCUACAAAUUCUUAAGAAAUCCAGGCAGAACUUUUGUUCAUUUUAAUAGCAAUGUACACUGAACUGCAGUCAAGUUUAUCAUUUUGCUAAUUUGUUGAUAACAUUCUGGCGUAUCACAAACAAACAAGUUGUAACAUCCCAUUUCAUUGGGCGAAAGAUACAACUACAACAAGAAGAUCCAUCAUUACAAUGUACUAGUAUACUGAACGUCAUAAUUACAGCACAAAAGUUUGAAAAAGGUACUUCAUAAGUAGUCGUCAUAUAUAAAAUAUGAAUAAAAGAAGAAUGGAGGGAAAAUCGUGGACACAUCUUCAAUACUCUAUACUUACAAUAAAAACAGACAUGAUCUCAAAUUCACGACUUAGAAUUUGGAGAUGGAUAAAUUUUAACAUCUGGACCGUUUGACAAGUAAAUCCCCAGGUUAAUACAAAUUGUGAAAGACGAAUGAGGGAAAAUAAGAUAUCUAAGUGGACUAAAGCAACAACGACUAACAAGAUUCCUAACCAGGUUAGGACUCAAAUUCAAACAUUAUCAAUAACCAAUCCUCCCCGGAUACAACUAAUCAAUGUAGACAGUAAGUUAUUAUUUUUAGAUAAUAUCGUAAUCAAGAAUGCUGUGAUAUUAUCAAUUGCCCCACCUCUAAGAUUUCAUACAGCAAUGUCCUAAACAGUAUAAAUACGCAGUCUUGUGCAAUGCUCAAUUUAGAAUGUAGACAAGAAACUAAAAUAAUAAAACAGUUUUACUGGUACUAAUGUAGUUUUUGUUAAUAGUUUAUUUAGCCGAAAAAAGAAAACAAAUCCUUAUCAAAAUGAAAAUCGUCCUAUUAAUAACAUUAACGGUACCAAUUUGUCUGCACUAGAUGCGUAUUUUGACAACAAAUGUCGGUCUCUUCAGGGAUGAUCGAAUCCAAAAUAUUUGAAAAUAAGAUUUGAUAAUCCUGGCAAAUCUUAAUAUUAAAAGAAUGAAAGAGCUUAUCAACCAAAACGGACAAAAAGUACAGCCAAAGUCGUGCAAGGAAUCCGAGCUUUGCAUGAGGGAGACCGUGAUUAUAGACAUGGAAUACAUCCAAAAUUUUUUUUCCCUUUUCAUUGUUCUAAAAGACCAAAUAUGCGAGCUUUAUUACUUGGGAUAAACUAUAUAUGUUGCAAAAUAAGUGGAUUUUGAAGCAGUCAUUUAAACUUUACUACGGUUUGAAUUGUAUGUAAUACAAUGUUCUAAAGAAAGUAAUUGAUAUACAAUACAUAUUGAUUAACAAAGCAAUUGUAUGUCUGCAUGUUAUUUGUAUUUAUUUUAUAUUUUAAAAAAAAUAUUAUGUAAUGUGUUUUCAAAUGUUUAUUCUUCUGAAUAAUUGUUAUUGAGUAUAAACGUAUCAUUUUUUAAUAUAUUGUAACUUUUGAAAUAAAGAUAUUUUGCUUUACUAAAAAA